GACGAGGGAUCCUAGCGUUGCUCGGAAUCAUUGGGCGUAAAGCGGGUGUAGGUGGCUUGGUAAGUCAGAUGUGAAAGCCCAGGGCUCAACCCUGGAAGUGCAUUUGAAACUGCUAAGCUUGAGUGCUAGAGAGGUUAUUAGAAUACCUGGUGUAGUGGUGAAAUACGUAGAUAUCAGGUGGAACACCGGAGGCGAAGGCGGAUAACUGGCUAGACACUGACACUGAGACCCGAAAGUGUGGGGAUCAAACAGG
rnacentral:rRNA from 1 species